AACUCGACUACAUGAAGCUGGAAUCGCUAGUAAUCGCGAAUCAGAAUGUCGCGGUGAAUACGUUCCCGGGUCUUGUACACACCGCCCGUCACACCAUGGGAGUCAGUAACGCCCGAAGUCAGUGACCCAACCAUAAGGGAGGGAGCUGCCGAAGGCGGGACCGAUAACUGGGGUGAAGUCGUAACAAGGUAAC
rnacentral:rRNA from 1 species